UACGUAGGCAGCGAGCGUUGUUCGGAGUUACUGGGCGUAAAGAGUGCGUAGGCGGUUUUCUAAGUUUGGUGUGAAAUCUCCCGGCUUAACUGGGAGGGUGCGCCGAAGACUGGAAGGCUUGAGUAUGGGAGAGGUAAGCGGAAUUCCUGGUGUAGCGGUGAAAUGCGUAGAUAUCUGGAGGAACACCGGUGGCGAAGGCGGCAUUCUGGACUGUAACUGACACUGAUGAACGAAAGCCAGGGGAGCAAACGGG
rnacentral:rRNA from 1 species